CUCCAAGAUGGUUGGGACAAAAAAUGGUCAGAGUUUCAACAAAACCAUUUAAAAUUGUCCAAAGAUCCCAAAAAUAAAAAAGAUAAUUAUUUUAAAAAUGAUGAAAAAGGGACGGUAGGUACGCUUUAUUUAACAGCGUACGCCAAGUUAAGCAAAUUGAUUGCAAUAAUUUAAGAAAAUAGAAAAUGCUCCCAGGAAAAUGCAAUGCCUUCCACAUCCUGGUUUAGUUCGCAGGCUUCAAUUCUUAUUAACAGAAUUAGAAAAAAUAUAUUGAAGACUGCGAAAUAAACGAUAUAUGCUAUCUAGUCAGCAUAAAGAGACUAAUAGAAAAAACUCGUGACACUGUGCUUCAAUUUAUUAGCCAGCACGAAAAUGAAGAGUUAAAAAAUAAAUUCUAUGAUUUAAGAAAUAGAUUUUACAAACUCAAAAUCUAUUACCAAAAAAAUGCUGCCAAUUUUACAUGGCCUCAAGUUGAAAUUCCCAUUUUUUCAGGAGAUUACGCUCAGUCGCAAAGUUCUAAAGAACUGUUUGAGCAACUGGUAGUCUCUCAAAAUGUUUCUGACACGUAUAAAAUGUGUAUUUUAAAAACUAAAUUAAGAGGAUCGGCUGCUAGUUGUAUUGCAACCUGUCUUCAACCUCAACAAAUUUUUCAGUUGCCUGGAACCUUCUUAAUGAAAAAUAUGCUAAUAAAAGGUUACUAGAAAAUACUUAUUUCAAACAAAUUUUAGGUGCUUUUAGUGUACGAAAAUUUCAAGAAAAAAUUUCUGAAAGUACACGAGCAUUGGAAAGCCUCAGUUUGUCUGCAGAUAAUUUGUUACAAGCUAUAUUAGACUAUAGGUUUGUGCAAAAAUUAGACAACAAUUUAAGACUUAGGUAUGAAAAUUCGCUUAAAAACCCUAAGGAAAUAGCUACCUUAAAUUCACUGCAGUCGUUUCGGAAAAGGAAUACACUAGAAGCAGCACAAGCCUCAAAAACAUCAUCUAAAUUUCAAAAUGCAGAAUUUAAAUGCAUAAUGGAAUGUAAUACGAGUACUUCACACAAUAUAUUUUAUUGUUAUAAAUUUAAAGCUCUUUCUACCCAGGCCAAAUGGGAUGCAGUAAUGAAAAACAAAUUAUGCACCAAAUAUCUUAAAAAAGGGCACAAUAUUUUUUUUUUUCCAAGAUUAUUUUAUUUAUUGAAUCUGCUUUUUCUUAAAGCCUAACAAUAAGUUAUAAAAUCUUAAAUCUAAUUAAAAACUAGACAGGCUCAAGCAAGUGAUUGAGCUGUUUUGGUGAUACGUCGCUCUUUAAUACGCAGGCAUACAUAUGUAUCUCUUCUUUUAAGUCGUGUUACGCAUGUACCAUGGUGAACACCUGAUUGUUCUAAGUAUUUUUGAUUGAAACCUUUGUAAUAUAUCAAUAUUAAUUGCAUAGGUCGUACCCCACAGUUGAAUGCCAUACAUCCAAAUCGGCUUUAUGGCCACAUUAUAUAAAAGCACUUUGUCGUCUAGGCUAAGUUUGGAGUUUUUAUUUAAAAGCCAAUUUAAAUUUGCAGCUCUAAUCUUCAUACAUGUUAUUUUACUAGAGAUGUGUUUUCUCCACGUGAGCCUUCUAUCUAGGUGAAUACCAAGAUAUGUUACUUCGUUCGCUUGGGGUACCAAAAUUAUAUUUAUUUUUACUGCCGCGCACAUCUUUGGUCUAAAAUGUGGCAUUUGUUACGGCUCACUAUAGCUGUGUCGUCCGCAAAAGUUGAUGUUAAUACAUUAUUAGCUGUUGGAAGAUCUGCUGUAUAUAUGAUGUAUAGUGUUGGGCCUAAAACACUACCCUGUGGUACACCAGCCCUUAUCUGUCGUUCAUCAGAUAUGAAAUCUCCCACUUUUACCAUAAAUUUUCUAUUUUUUAAAUAAGACUCCAAUGUUUUAUACAAUUCUAAAGGUACAGUUUUUUUAAUCUUAUAUAAAAUCUUUUUUUAAUCUUAUUGUGUCACAUCUUAUCAAACGCCUGAGCUACAUCUAGAAAUAUUGCUGAACAGUACUCCCUGUGCUCAAAUGCUUUCCUUAUCUUGUUAGUAAUUCUAUUUACUUUCUCUAUUGUGCCAUGUUUCGCACGAAAACCAAAUUGAUGCAUUGGUAUUGUAUUAUUUUCGUGGAGGAAAGGAGACAUCUUUGAAGGUAAUACUUUUUCAAAUACUCUUGAAAGACAGGGUAGAAAACUGAUUGGUCUGUAUGAAGACGGUUGUGUUAAGUCUUUCCCACGUUUACCUAUCAAAAUAACUCAAUUAGCAUUUUUGGUCUGUAUGAAGACGGUUGUGUUAAGUCUUUCCCACGUUUACCUAUCAAAAUAACUCAAUUAGCAUUUUUGGGGAAAUAUUAUCAUGUCCCGGCGACUUUUUUGGAUUAAGUUCUUUGAUGAUUUCAAUAACUUCAGAAGGUGAAGUCUUAAGAGACUCGAGCGAGUCUUUAGCUGUGUUGGAUAAAAUUGACAGCUUAAAGUUGUUCUUUGGCAAAUUGGAUUAGAAUACCUUUUCUAAGUGAUUUGCAAAGCAAUUAGCCUUUUCCUCGUCACUUCGAGCCCAAUUUCCACCCAAGUUUCGUAUAGGCAUGUUUGAGUCAGUUGGUGGCUUCAUGGUCUUUUGGACUUUCCAAAGGGAAUUUUGAUUGUUUGAAUUUGGACACAGCUUCUUAAUAUACAUUUCGGUGUUCAAUUCUUCCUCACGUUUAAGCGUUUUUUUUUUUAAUUUACGUAUAGCAGAUUUUAAUUGAAGCUGAGUGGAAGUGGAACGAUUUAUCUGCCAUUCACGUCUUGCACGCCUUUUUUUUCAUUUACAAGCAUUUCUAUUUCUCUAUUAGAGAUUUUUCUGAAACCAAGGGGCUUAUAGCUUUUGUUUGGCGUUGCUAAGACAGCUGCGCUAGUUUUUAUGUCAUUGACUUCUCUUAUGCUUUCGUCAAUAUCUCUUCCUGUAUUUAUUUUGUACUCAAUAUUAAUGUGGCUACAGACGUAUUUUUUAUAUUUUAACCAUUUAGACCCACUUUUGGAUUAACGAAUAUGGGUUGUUCAUAUAACUUUAUUAUUACAAGAGAGUGAGCAGAAGAUAGAUCAGUACAUGUAUCAGCCGUUAUGUGCGAUUUAUCUAUAUUUUUGAUUACAGCAAAAUCAAUUAAAUCUGGUAUUUUCUUACGAUCACUAGGCCAAUAUGUCGGCUUACCAGGAGAUAUUAUUUCAAUCCUUUCGGAUUAAUAAGACGUGAGCCCCAGUACGUGUGUUUUGCGUUGUAAUCUCCACCUGCUAGAAAUCUUUGACCUAGUGUUCCAAAAAAGUCUUUAAAUUCGAUUUAUGUAAUUUUAAACUGUCCCCAUAUAGCCGUAAGGGUUUAAGUCACAACCCCGAUUUUUUAGUGAUAUUGUUGUAGCUUGUAACUAUGGUGUAGCAUGAGAUUCUAGAGCAGUAUUUCCCAAAGUGGGCGAUAACGCCCCCUUGUGGGCGCUGAAGGUGUCAAGGGGGGCGGUAAGAGACCCAGAAAGAAAAUGGAGGCGUUGGGUAGAGGCCUGGGGAGUUAUUUGUAAUUUUAUUUAGCUAGGAGGCCUCUUAGACAACGACUACAUGAGCUCUCGACUCUCAAAAACAACUUGUGAACAUCAACUAAUAUGAAUUAAAAGAUUGCUCAAACUCGGUUCUAUACUUCUCUCCGCGUAGUUCAUAUAUCUGUCUUAUUUUAUUGAAUAUAGAAAAAAUGAAAAUCAUGUCAAUUGGUCGCUCCGUUUCAUUACUGGGCAUCUCGACAGGAUAGAAUUAAUAGAAUACUAACUGUCAAACGUAUUGCUUUUGCCAUUGCCAAAUCUGUAUGUGGGCAUUUGCUAUCAUAGUAUAUUAUAAUCAUUUGCGCAAAGGUGUAGGGUAGGUAGGUUCGAGCUGAUGUAGCGCACGUUUUGAGCUUUUGAACUCCUUAAAUCUUUUAUGUGGAAAAUAAAAAAGGAUCUUUAUCCUUUCUUACAAAUGUAUUUCUGGGAAAAAUAAGAUAAUACGAAAAGGAGAAAGAUCCUUUUUUACAAAUGUAUUUCUAGGAAAAAUAAGAAUUCAUAUUUUUGACUACUAUAUCAUGAUUGUGCUUAAGCAUUCCUACAUAAACAAUGUAAUAUUUAUUUUAUAUUCAUUUGUGGUUUUGCGCGCAAUAGAUGAGCAUUAUUUACGCCCCCUUUACACUACUCGCGAAGUUAAACGUAUUUCUCAAAGCAAAACAAUGUCGGAAGUAAAAAAGAAGAGACGGAAAUACUGUGCGGAAUACAUUAAAUUCGGAUUCAUUGAAAAUCCCACAAACCCAUCCUCGCCUUUGUGUCUUCUAUGUCUAAAAACAUUUUCGAAUGAAGCAAUGAAGCCUUCAAGACUGCAAGAUCAUUUGAAUAAAAUGCAUCCAGAUAAGAGAGACAAGAAUGUAGCAUAUUUUCAAGACCUAGAGAAGAAGCAUAAUACUUAGCCAAGUGUAGCAAAACUAUUUUCGGCGGCUGCUAAGCAAGAUGACGACGGACUUCGAGCUUCGCACAAUAUCUCUUUGUUAAUUGCUCAAAAAGGCAAACCACAUAACAUCGGAGAAGAGUUAAUAUUGCCAGCAAUAAAUGAAGUAAUAACUAACGUGCUUCAUAAACCGACCGCAGAUAUUAUCCGAAAAAUUCCUUUGAGUAAAAAUUCUGUGCAAAGACGAAUUGAUGAAAUGGCUGAAAACAUUGAAGAAUCAUUGUGCGAUCACCUGAGGACAAGCCAAUUCUCAAUUCAGCUCGAUGAGUCCACUUUACCAACUAAUGAAGCAUUGUUAUUAUUUCCCAGAAAUUUAGACGGAUGGCGCUCCGACUAUGAUAGGGUGCCAUAAGGGCUUAAUAGCGCACUUAAAAAAUAAAAUUGCAGAUGUCCUUGGUGUACAUUGUGUUAUUAAUAGACAACAUUUAGUUGCUAGAAACUUAAGUGAAAAACUAUUUCAAUCACUGCAAUAUGUCAUCAAAGGGGUCAAUAAAAUCCGCAACAGCUCUUUGAUUGAUAGAUUAUUUCAUCAGCUUUGUGUUACUAAUGACGAGGAUUUCAAUCGUUUGUUGUUUCAUACUGAAGUUCGUUGGCUAUCAAGAGGCAAUUGUCUGACUCGAUUCUACAACCUGGGGUCGAAUCGUUACAUCCGUGAACGUAUCACUCGUCACGUAAAAGUCUGUAUUUCGUAUUAUGACAUACGUGAUCGUAACGCUUAUAUACGUGAUCGUAACGCUUCUAUCGUAAUCUGGCAUGAUGACACACGUGAACGAGUAUAUAAACGUAUCCGUUCGUUCGAACCGUCACUCGAACGCAAACUACCGAUCGUAACAGACGAAUUAUUUAAAAAUGACAAAUUAUAAUAAGCUAAAUCCUAAACAAAAAGAUGUGAUGGCAGAAUUCAUGUCAAGCCAUCCAUGUUUGGCAAAAAAUAACCUUCCAAACUCUGCGCAAGGAAGAAUUGCAUCCAACAAAUUAUGGGAGGAAUGGCGAAGCAGCUUAAUGCCGUGGGGCCACCAGUUAAAGAUGCUAAGUUGUGGAGGAAGGUUUUUGCUGAUCAAAAAUAUCAAGCAAAAAAAAAACUUUCCUUCAAUAAGGCAUCAAAGCAGCGAACUGGUGGAGGGCCCUAUAAUGAAAAGUUGAUCACUGCGACGGACGAACUGCUAAUUGAAGCAGCUGGACUCGAAGCUUGCGUAGAAGGCAUAACAAAUAUUUCUGCAUUUGGAAAUAACCCAACUACGCAAGCUUCGACGUUUAUCGUUAACUGUGAUAGCAGUGAUGAGGAGGCAAGCCCUUUCCCCAGCUCCUUACCAGGCCCAACACCUUCCACACAGUCGCUACUCGAUACAAAAAUACCAACAGAAAAAACUCCACGCACACCGAGGAGAAAAAGUAGGAGUGACGAGAAGUUGGAGUUACUUCAACAAAACAUGAAGUCGCUAUCGGCUUUUCAAAAAGGCAUAGACCAGAAGCUUGAUAGGUUAGUAGCAGCACAAGAAAAAAUGCUGGCACUACAGGAAAAGCUGGUUGCCAUUAAGUUGGAAAAGCACCGCAUCCAACAAUCAACAAGGGAAAUAGACCACGAGAUAAAAAAAUUGGAGCUCGAAACCUUACGAAGGAAUUUAUUAUAAAACUUGGUACAUUUAUGUAAAUAUUUUUAGUUUUAAGCAUUUAAUGAAUUUUUCGUUUUAAGUAUUUAAUGAAUUUUUAGUUUUAAGCAUUUAAUGAAUUUUUUAAUUUAAUAGAGCUUUAUUUUUUUUUGAAUUUUAUUUAUUUAAUAUUUAAGAAAUGUGAUAAAACCAACAAACGUGAUGAAACGACUAAUAAAAAUAAUGCGUUUAUAUGAACAAAAUUUUUGUAUUUC